GUAGGUGACCUGCGGAAGGAUCAUUAUUGAG
rnacentral:rRNA from 1 species